AUAAAACCCUCAAUUCUGCAUAUCAAGUUAAGAACAGGAAUCACCAGCUGAUAGGUGAACUCUGAGGAAAAUAAUUUUGAUGAACUUGUUGGGACAGAAAUCCGAAUUUAGGAGAUAAUCUAACAUAAAGACUACCUUCCUUUGUGGAUAUCAUCAGAAAGAAUGUUAGCUGCACAAGAAAUCAAAGAGGCAGGGUACCAAGAAGGGUCUAGAGAGAAAGCUUUUCUGUGAGAUUAUUGAACCAAUGAUAGAAGGAAUGAAAUCUGUGGAAAGGGACAACUGAGGUCAUGGAAUUGUUUUUUAAAAGAAACCCCUGUAGGUAGGGGAAGGGGAGGCAGAAAGCCACAGUAACACUCAAUGGGCUUCUUCAGGUCACCUGGGAUAUGCACUGUGAGUGUGAGUCAUCCCUCCUUUUGUUUUACAACAAAGGAAUGGAUCACUAAGAAACAUGCUAAGCUAUGGGUUCCACACUCUCAUCCUUGUGGAUUCUUAUGGGCCUGAGUUGAGUCUUGGGAAUGUGUAUUUUAAAAAGCAGUGAUGUAAUUAAGCUGGUUGAGAAUGGGAGCUACACCUCUGACCUAAAUGUCUCAAGAAGCUACUGCUGAUGGAUCAGUGAGGGUCCACCCAUUGCAGCAGGUCCUCUCAGUGAGAAGCAGGGACACAGAGCUGAUGUGUGUUCAGUGCAUCAUGAUUAUGUCUGCCUCUGCCCCGAUACAACCUUGCGUCUGCCUCUAGUCUAGCAGCUUUGAUAUCACAGUGCAGAUUCUCAAAUAAGCAACCACUGGCUUACUAACAAGGUAAUAAACUGAGUGAUAAUCAGAAAUAAGCCAGCCUGUGGAUGUCGAUCAAACCCAUAGUUGCCCAUAUGAGGAACAGACAGAAAGAAGUAUUCAGAAGUGGAUGUGGUUGCUACUUGAGUAUCCUGGAAGGCUGUGCAGUCAUUUGUCUGCCACCAAUGUGCCAGGAGGUCUGGGUAAAGAGAAAACAGCAGGCUCAAUUCUAUACUGGGUAAUUUGGAAGUGAUUGAACUGUUCCUAGCGCAUCCUGUGAUAAGCUUUCUUGUUGUUCAGGGCAAAAUAACCAAGGAAACUGAAUUUCAAGAUAAUUAUACCUGCUAUUUUCUGAUACCAAUAAGAGAGAAAAUCCUAUGACUGUAAAGGGACUCCUUUCUAGGUAGGAAACAGAUUUCUGGUUAGCUGAAUAUCAUCAUUCAGCAACUUCCCAUCACAUCAUUUAACUCAGUUCUCAGGGAAUGCUGGGCAUACCUGUGUAUAUUUCUCUACCAUUAUAAUUAUAUGUGAUAGGUGUGUAUGUUCCAUCAGUGUGAUUAUACAUUGUAAAGCAUAUAGAAGCAAUAUCUCUAGGACACUUUGGUUAUUGAUUUUCAUAUGAGAGCUGUGAAAUCAUAGAAUGUCAGAGAACAUGUUAACCCCCAAAUCUCAUUUUGCCAGACAACACUAAACCUUGGGAAGAUAUCGCUAACUUGAUUCAAACUUUGUAUUCACUUGAACAACAAAAUCAGGUCAUUCAUCCAUUUAGUGACUUAAUAUACAAAAGUGGGUGUUAAAUAUACAAAUGACCGAGACACUGCCCCAGAUGUCAAGGACUUUGCAACCUUCCUGGGAACAAACCCAUAAACAACAGUGUGUUUUGGUUUUAAUUUUUAACAGUAUUGAAGUUUUUUAAAUAAAUGGCUUCAGUCCUUCAAUUCUACUCUCAAGAAUUAAUUCAAUGGAAACAAAUGGGAGGAAAGGGAAGAUUUAGUUAUAAAAUGCCCCCUUAAAAUGUUCUUUAAAAAUAGUUUAUUUAUUUGUAUUUUAUGUACAGCAGUGUUCUUGCAUGUAUGUCUGUGUGAGGGUGUCAGAUCCCCUGGAACAGGCGUUAUAGACAGUUGUGAGAUGCCAUGUGGGUGCUGGGACUUGAACCUGGGUCCUCUGGAGAGCAGCCAGCACUCCCAACCAUUGAGCCAUCUCUCCAGCCCCCUUAAAAGUGUUCUCAAUUUCAGGAUAAAGUAGGGCUUAUGAUACCUUGACCUCUUUGCAGUCACUCAAAUGCAGGUGAAAGAAAAAUAUUAACAUAGAAAGAUGAUCACGGUAUGCUAUUAGAAGAUCAAGUGGUAGAUUCCACCGGACUGUAGAGACUGUGAGUCUAUCUUUUGAGGUACCUUGUUUUUAUGCCUAGAGUCACUUUCAAAGUGUUAUCAGUAGGCAUUGCUCUUUUCCUCAUGGAUGCAUUUUCUAAAUGUUUUAUGGUGCAAACACAUUUACUUUAAAAUAAGAAGAGAAAAAUAAUAAUAUCUGGAUAUCGAGGCAACACUUGAGUUCUCAAGAAGUUGAUCUACGCAUGUGGAGUCAGAGGACAUAGAAGUUUGACUUGAACUGAUACAUUCAUCCAUGACCCAUUGGGCAUUGUCUAUGUGUAAAAUAUCAUGGAGGAAAACCUAGAGCAAAUGUUUUAUUUUUCUAAAUGUUAAUGAAGAUGAAGAUUAACAAAUAACAUGUCAGAAGGAAAGACCACAUUCCCAGGGCAUGUGAGGGCACAAUUCUGCUUAGGGAAGAGGAACUGACUGACAUUAGUCAUGAGUCCUGUGUCCCUGUCAGUCUACAAGGCAGCUCCCAUGUCACCUCACAUCUCAUUAUGUCCCAUGCUGGGAGUGUUUGUUUUGAUGAACUGGAUUCUCAGAAAAUAGGUAAUGCAGGCAUCUGUGCUGGUUCCUUAUUAGACAGAACAAUAAGUUACCCAGAACAUCUAAGGUAAACAAAAAUUUAGUGGUUAUUUGAUCACACUAAUCUCUAUCCUCCACAAAGUGCUUUCAACCUAUUAGGGAGACAUCAGCAUGACAUCUAAAGGAGGCACUGAGACAAAUUCAAUGGGAACACUGUACCAAGGACAGAAUGGAAACAAUAUUUACCUCAGAGAGACCUCCAGGCUCUCAAACAGAUUAAAUUGGAAUAGAACGAGCACAUGCAUUCCUUUAUUUAUUUACUUGGCAGAAGGCGCCUUAUUUUAUAUAGAUCACAUAGCCAUCAUUGAAGAUGUAUUCUAUUUUUAAAGUGUCACACCCUAGUGGAGAAAGCAUCUGGCUUCUUGAAGGGCACAGUGCAGUCUAAGGAGAUGCAGGGAAGGAGGGAGAAGUGGAGAAUAAACACAUACUGACCUCCUCCUGGAAGCUUCUUUUCCUUGAUCCUUGCAUCUUCUUUGAACCCGGCUCUCAGAAUUUCCAGGGUGUUACUAUGGUUUUGUUUUACAGAUGGACAAGCAGAGGUUGAUUGUCAGAGUUAGAAACACACAUGCCUAUAGCUGCACUCUUCGUAGCAGAGACAGUGUUUAGGUCCAGGCCUGUCAGAUCUCAAGCUUGGGGCCUGUCUGCAGCAUCCUGCUGUUUUGGAAGACCAUGAUGCAUGCAUGUCAUGGUGUCAGGAUAAAUCAAAAGGGAUGCAGGAACCCUGAGUGACAGGGCAUGAAGACCUGGCACUUAAUGCUGAAAUUCUUCAGUGAAGUUGUGGCAGGCUUUUGUUCACUGGUAUCAGCAGUGCCUGAGUGGUGUCUUGUUCAAGCGGGGUAAAGCUGAUCAGAUUCACAUGUGCAUUUGCACGUACUCAGUGAGACUGACCAGCAGUGUCAUUAUCUCCAAUGCUGAUGGUCUGCCACAUGUAGAACUUGGAGAGGGCAGAGAUCUGUCCUGGAAUCCAGUGCCCAGGAAACUGGUCAAGCAUGCUUCGUUCUUCACUGUGGUGUCUGCUCAUUCUUGAAUGCCAUAUCCCCCUGACUCCACCCCCAACCCCUAUGACUUGUAUGCUAUGGUCCUACCAUUAGAAGUUUGUUUAAUUGGGGACAGGAUAUUGGUGGGGAAAACAUGUCUCUUUGGGUUAGAGCAUAAAGACUGAGCUCAAGGUACCUGAUUCCUUACUGACCUCCAAAUAUGCAGUACCUUCUCUUCUGAGUGGUACCCUUGCUGUUCAUUUGGCUUCUGGCCUUCUAAAAGUUAUUUUCCAGGCACCUAGACCAUCUUCACAUUGAGGGCUUCUGUUCUGAGGGAAAUACAGAGUCACAGUUCUCUAGGCCUCAAGUUCUCAUCAAAGCUUACGUCUAUAAUGUCACAUUCUCUUCGGCCCUGCAAGGCCACUCCUUGGGUUUAAAAAUCAUGGAAAUGUGACCUUGAUCUAGGAGCUAAUAGAGUCCAAUCUCAAAUGUCACCCAAUUCAAUGACUUAUUCUGGAAUAAUUAUUGGAAAGUUUGGUCUUAUGUUGAGUUAAAAUCAGCCUCUCAGCUAUUGCUUAUUCAGUUUUGCCAGGGAAGUUAUAGUCUACCUGCUACAAGCUAUACUUUGAAAUCUUUAUGAGAGAGUUGAUGGUCCUUGUUGGAAAGAGAAGCUCCUUGUAGGAGGCUUGUGGUGAGAACAAGUUUUAGGCAGUAUCUUCCAGGAAUCACAAUGGAAUCCCAUCAUCCUGAUUCCUUUGUUGAGGAGUGUUUGGGAAUUUUGUUGGUUUUCUACAACCAUAAUGCUCUAUUGGCCGUCUGACCAGACUGAACUUUGAUCAACCAGGGCUACCCUUAUUUUCAUGAUAGAGAUUGGACAUAGUGGCUCACACUAACAUCCCAGAACUAUAUACUGGCCAGUUUGGACUGUCCUUUCAUGGCAAGAAUUGCUGCCAGGAAACUGAAUGCAAAGAAACUCUUCCAAAUGUACCCCCCCAAUAUUUGAUGGCUCUACUUUUGUCUAAAGGGUGAAUUCAUUCAUCCCUCUGCCAACCCUUUCCCAUAAUAAUAAGUGUAGCUAGACUCCUGGGCCACAACAUAACCUUCAGUGAGAUGUCUUCAGUUGCACCUAUUACCUACCAAUCACUCAGCUAUGAAUCUAUCAAUGAGUUAAUUUACUGGUGCAGUUAAUGCCCUCAUGACCCAAUUGCCUUUUCAUAGAGCCAUUGGCUGGGACCAAGCUCCUAAUACAGGAACCUUUUGGAGUGGUACUUCUCAAAACCCUAACAGGUCUACAGGUUCCCUCCUCUUCUCCCUCCCCUUGUCUACUCCCUUCCACCUUCUCUAUACUUUUCCCUUUCCCUCUAUUUUUCCUCUGUGACUGCUGAAGCUAAAGAUGGCAACUAUCCAGCCAUAGCCAGAGUGACACCUUGCUGGGGGUUGGGAAAAAAUUAGGACUCUUAAAUCCUCAUUGGUUGAUUUUGCUUCCAGUGAGUUUAUUCCUAGAGGUGGUGAAUUUAAUGGCAACUUUCUGUUGUUAAUAAAGAAUAACAGAUGUGCAGAUAAUUUUGAAUUGUGUAAUGCUGUGAGAAACAAAUCAGCCCUAUUGGCAUAAUACCUAAUUUAAAUAAUGAAUUAGCAGUAUAUUAAGUUUCAAUGCCCUUGUUGAAAAGUGAAAAUCUGAGAGCAAAAUGUGCUGUUGUGCAAUAUGAUACCCUAGUAAUCCUGAACUGGCUUCAUUCUCUUAUUGAAGAAAAAAACAAAUCAGGUUCUUUGGAUUAUCUGAUCAAAUUCCCAAGGGUAAAAGUAUUACACUCUGAAGAUCUUUAUAAAUUGACACAAUUAUGACACAGUAUAUUCUUUGAUCCCCAAACAGUGGUUUAGAGUGUUAAUUAGAAUAUAUAUCCUUUCCGAUUUGGGUUUAUUUUCUCUAUGAAGAUUAUGAUCAUAAACCUACUUGUGAGACAUUCUUUCCAAUACGCAUCAACUAAUAUUAGAGAAAAAAUAAGCCAUGUUUACUUUUUUAUUUCCCCAUCAGCUGUGAGCAUGCUGUGGACUCUCCUCUUCCAUGUGACAUCUGCUGACCCCUAAGCAUCAAAGCUAGGCCAAGGUUGACUCUUUUCUUGACCGGUGCUGAUACCAUCCCCUUAUAAUUAGAAAUAACUUUAUAGUUAGAAACUGAGGCUCAAUGAGAUUACAUGAUUCAUCCAAGUUUUCAGAAUUAACAAUGACUUAGCUAGAGACUACACAUACAUUUUCUAGAUUCAGGACUACCACACUGUCUAAAUUAGCAAAAUAGAGGAUGAUGGUCUGACUCAGCUCAAGGCCAUGGUUUUAUCCUUUUUGAGAUCAACACUAGGAUUCACUCACUACAGUUAGCUGUUUUCAAUGUACAUCAUAUCUUUAAUCCAUCUCUCCUAUACUCAGUAACAUUUGAAGUUUGGGAUUCCUAUCCCUGGUCUAACCAUGAGCUUUGGAGCAGAGAAAGAUUUGUCCAGAUCCAUCCAAUUACUACCAGUAUAUGCACUGGGAAAAACCUCAAGCCCCUUUCCUUCACACUGGAAAUAACAAAACCUAGAUUGUACAGCUGUUGCCAAAUCUAAAAGGGAGCAUCUGUAGAGUGCUUGGUGUCCUGUAAAUAGCUAUACUUCCAGUGAUCACCUCCCUCACUACUGUCCUUUGUAGAAAAUGUUCACAUAUUCUCGUAGCUUUGAAGAUGCUGACCCCAGAAAAGUGUUGGCUGAGGUGGUUUGAGUUGCUACUAUAAGAGGAUGUUGCUGGGCAGUGGUGGCACAUGCCUUUAAUCCCAGCACGUGGGAGGCAGAGCCAGACAGAUCUCUGUGAGUUCGAGGGUAGCCUGGUCUGCAGUGUGAGUUCCAGAACAGGCACCAAAACUACAGAGAAAGCCCGUCUUGAAAAACAAAAACAAAAACAAACAAAAGGAUGUUAACUAGAGUUCUUGACUUUGUUCCUACCAAAGUAUAGAAUUGAGAGGCACCAGAUGCCAAGGAGCAUGUAAGCCUAAUCCUCAUGCCUUGUUAUGAUAAACUAUAAUAGAAAUGUUCAACAGCUACCUUCACGAUCUUGGUGUGUCAACUAAAGAAGACAUAGAGAAGGAGGCCAUAAUGGCAAGAGAUACCAAGACUGGAGAGAGGUAUCUUAGGGUUUGGUUGUGUUUUUCAAUCUAACCACUGCUUUGCUUGAGGCUAAUGGGGGUGGAUUUUUAGAGCUUGAUGCAGCUGCUGCCACUGCUAUAGGAGGGGAGCUGGGCUCUGUCUAAUUCUCAGGCAGGAAAUCUAGAGGACAAAUGACAGAUUGCUUUGGUGGCAACACCAGGGGAGGCUGGUACAAUCAAAUUAGUCUGCAUUCCCCAAGGUCAUUCAAGGCAAAGAUAUGAGAGUGUCUUUCUUGUAGUGUAUGUGGGCUACAUGGAAGUACUUAUGGGAGAUGUAAUUGCUUCACCCCGAGAUUCCUUCAUCUCAUUGCUGUUCCACUAAUUUAUAAUUACAAGUAAUUCUGUUCCUAAGGAUUUUUGGAAUUGGAGGAGACCCUUGUGGGGAAGCAUCUAGGAGUGCUAAGGAACUGGAGCAGCCAGCAUAAACUUCAGUUGAAGAGGUAUGGGACUUAGGUGCUGUCUACAUCUGUAAAUGGCUCAACUCCCUUGAUUCUGAACUAGGGUGAUCCUGAGGUGUGCAUUUGGCACCAUUUAUAAAAAUUCAUUGGUAGUUGGAUUAGUAGUAUUUCUUUGUAUGGCUUUUCAUCCUUUCCUAUACCACUUUCUCGCUCUAGGAGAGGUAUUCAGUACAAUUUCUAAAUACAUGACUUCUAUUCAGUCUCUUACAUCAUGAUCUAAGGGAGCCAAAACUAAAACAGAGACACUAGAAGAGAGCCUAGGAAUAAUUUUUUUUCUGUUUCUUGUCAAUCAGAUGACAAAAACACCCUUCUGCAAUGGUGACAAGAGAGGUGAUGGGACUUCCUGGCACACUGAAUAUCUCAAGUACAAAUGCUCCCAUCAACAAUGAAUUGGAAUGGAGUCCAGUGUUUUGCAAUAUUAUUGGCAGUCCUUAAGUAUGCUACCAAUGGUAGUUAUGAUGACUGUGGGAUUGAUCAUUGAUAAAUAUAAUCAUUACACUUUGGUUUGUUUUCAGCUAACCACCAACUAAGGGCUCAGUGUGCCUCCCAGAAGAGCUCUAAUGGCAUUCAUGGAGAACAUGUUCUCUGUAGAGAAAGGCAAAAUCAGCUGAAAGACAGGUGGAUUCUUUAGAAAAUACCUUCCCUGUUCCAAGAAAGAAAAGAGAUUUUUGCCAAAAGCGUUAUAAGACUCAGCUAAUAUGUUCUGACAGAGUCAUGGAGAACGUACCCAAAUGUAGGCUUCUAGAGUGCUGGCCCAGUAGUCAAGACGGAAAGACAGAGAAGAGAGGAUCUUUGGUCUAGGGAGCAUCAUUCUUCCUUGGUCUCCAUUUAAUGUAUGAGGGAAGACUGUGGGGAUUAAGUCUGGUCUGCUGCAGGGAGUUCCUCUAACCUUGGGAAGUGAAGAGGUGUAGGAAAUGAGGUGAAGGAGUUGUGUGCAUGCCCAGGUGUGUGACUUCUUAGAUGGCUGUUGGAUGCGCAUUCCUAGAGUUUCCUCAGAGGACUAAACAGCAAGAAGUCAAAGAAAGUGGCAGAUUCUUACACAGUGAAGGAAUAGCUGCUGCGGGUGACAACUGAGAAGUUGAGUGACUGUAGGCUAGCCAAUGGAGAAGCUGCCCAUCCAGAACCAGGGGAAGCAUCUUCUAGGCACAGAAGUAGAAAGCCUUCAUGAGACAAAGCCAAUCUCAGCCAAGUGUUCUGACCCCCUUGCCAUUUUUUCUGUCUUUAUUGUAUUCAAUUCAGAGAUUUAGGAGUCUGCCUAGUAAGUUAGGGAUGGGUGACAGGUUAUGUAGAACCAAAGAUGGUUUCCUUCCAUGUUCCAAGCUUUCUGUCAAAAAUAAUCCCCAUUGGGAGGCAUUUUGUAAAUUGUUAGGUAUUGUAUUUGUAGUUUAAAAAUGGAGACCUAUCUUUGAAAUAAAAGUUGCUCCAAGAGUCAUCAUGCCUGUCAACUUUUCACCCAAUGGCUGAGAAAAUACUUCCACAUAAUUGGCCAGAGGUACAGUGAUAGCAAGCUAUAUUUGAUGAAGCUGGAAAGAAGGAGGCCAUUGGGCUUUCGCCCCUUGGCUCUCAAAGUGGGUGCAAGGAUCUUUACUUUAUACAGAAGAACCCAGCAGAAAGAACUGGGAUGACUGCCUACAAUGUGGCGUUCAGUCAAUAGUUCAUCAUAUAGCAGCUACAAUAUCUGUGACCUAAACCAAGUGUUUCUCUCUGGCUAUACACUUUUAUAUUACAGAAAAUAAAGUCCAGGGUCUAAGACUAUAGCCUGGUGUAAAAGGGCUCACGUAGCUACACACAGCCCUGACUUCCAUCGCCAGCACCAUAUUAAAAAGAAGAUGAAGGAGCUGUACAAAGUCCAAAGCUACAUUCAAACCCAGGAAGCUUACCUCCUCUUUCUUAGCAUGAACUUUCUUUUUUUUUUUAAUUAAGGAAUUUUUUUCAUACAUUUUACACACCAAUCAAAGAUCCCCCUCUUCCCUAUUCCUGCCCCCCCACCUCA